CCAAGAACAAGAUGGCUGAGGAGGACAAGGGAAAUGAAGGACUUUGCUGUCUCUUAAGAAGAAGAUCGUCAGUGGUGUCAGAAGGGUUACAAGUCGUCCUUCAACAAUACAAGACUGCAUUAGGUCUUGAGGCCUCUGUCCUUCUACAUGUUGAAGAAGAAGAUCAAAGUGACCUCAGCAGUCCAGAUACCAGCGAGGAUGAAGAGGAAAACAUAAUUUAGAUAGAAACUGCACAAAGGACUGCGUUUAAGGAAAUGGACUUGGCAUAUAUAUGUGUAGUGUUAGUAUGCUAACUACAUUAUUAUCUGUAUGCAUCCUAUAUUGUUAAAAUGUUCAACCUGUGUCUAGAUUAUCAAGCAUGUUAUUUAGCACGUUGAUGCUCCUUAAAUAUGCACAAACAUCUCAAUAUAGGUGCAAGAAUCGUAUGAUAUUAUCAGAUGUAAUAAUUGAACUUAUGUUAUAUUUGGCUAGUGUAUUCAUAAGUUGUGUAUUUAAAGUU